AGGGUUAUAGUUAAGUAUAACAUUUGGGUUGCAUUCAAAAAGUAUUGAAUUUAUCAAUUAACCUUA
rnacentral:tRNA from 1 species